rnacentral:misc_RNA from 1 species
CGGAACAACCCCAUCUUUCCCAUGAAACAGCUUAAAUGCCAUAUCAAAAUUAGGACCAUCUUCAAAUAUUGGACCUUUGGCUCCCCUCACAGGACUGGGAAAAUUCACUGAAAAUAGUGAAAAGCUAGUUGGCUUGUUGAUGUUCCGAAGAAAUGGGCAUCUCUGAACGUUCUUCUCAUCAAAUAGACAAUCAGAUGUGUCUUCAUUUACUCCCUUGAACAAAAAAUCCAUUGCUUCCAUAUAGAAUCAGCUAAUAGUUGCAGUAGAAUUAUAAUUGCAAAACCAAAAGAGGGUCAGCAGCAAAAUAUUGACACGCUCAACACUAACCUCGUGAAGAGCGGACAAGUGCAAAAAG